rnacentral:rRNA from 1 species
UCACUAGUUACCAGCGGGUAAUGCCGGGGACUCUAGUGAGACUGCCGGUGUCAAACCGGAGGAAGGUGGGAUGACGUCAAGUCAUCAUGGCCCUUAUGUCCGGGGCUGCACACGUCCUACAAUGGUCGGUACAAAGGGAAGCAAGACCGCGAGGUGGAGCAAAUCCCAGAAAGCCGGCCCCAGUUCAGAUUGCAGGCUGCAACUCGCCUGCAUGAAGUUGGAAUCGCUAGUAAUCGCGUAUCAGCUAUGACGCGGUGAAUAUGUUCCCGAGCCUU